rnacentral:rRNA from 1 species
UACGUAGGGUGCGAGCGUUUGUCCGGAAUUACUGGGCGUAAAGAGCUCGUAGGUGGUUUGUCGCGUUGUUCGUGAAAACUCACAGCUCAACUGUGGGCGUGCGGGCGAUACGGGCAGACUGGAGUACUGCAGGGGAGACUGGAAUUCCUGGUGUAGCGGUGGAAUGCGCAGAUAUCAGGAGGAACACCGGUGGCGAAGGCGGGGUCUCUGGGCAGUAACUGACGCUGGAGGAGCGAAAAGCCGUGGGGGAGCGAACAGG